rnacentral:rRNA from 1 species
UACGAACGCUGGCGGCAGGCUUAACACAUGCAAGUCGAACGCCCGUAGCAAUACGGGAGUGGCAGACGGGUGAGUAACGCGUGGGAAUCUCCCCAAAGGUACGGAACAACUCAGGGAAACUUGAGCUAAUACCGUAUGUGCCCGAGAGGGCAAAGAUUCAUCGCCUUUGGAUGAGCCCGCGUUGGAUUAGCUAGUUGGUGGGGUAAUGGCCUACCAAGGCGACGAUCCAUAGCUGAUCUGAGAGGAUGAUCAGCCACACUGGGACUGAGACACGGCCCAGACUCCUACGGGAGGCAGCAGUGGGGAAUCUUGGACAAUGGGCGAAAGCCUGAUCCAGCCAUACCGCGUGAGUGAAGAAGGCCUUAGGGUUGUAAAGCUCUUUUGCCCGGGAAGAUAAUGACGGUACCGGGAGAAUAAGCCCCGGCAAACUUCGUGCCAGCAGCCGCGGUAAUACGAAGGGGGCUAGCGUUGUUCGGAUUUACUGGGCGUAAAGCGCACGUAGGCGGAGUU